GACGAACGCUGGCGGCGUGCUUAACACAUGCAAGUCGUACGGUAAGGCCCUUUCGGGGGUCCACGAGUGGCGAACGGGUGAGUAACACGUGAGUAACCUGCCCACAACUUUGGGAUAACGCUAGGAAACUGGUGCUAAUACUGGAUAUGUGCUCCUGCUGCAUGGUGGGGGUUGGAAAGCUCCGGCGGUUGUGGAUGGACUCGCGGCCUAUCAGCUUGUUGGUGGGGUAGUGGCCUACCAAGGCGGCGACGGGUAGCCGGCCUGAGAGGGUGACCGGCCACAUUGGGACUGAGAGACGGCCCAGACUCCUACGGGAGGCAGCAGUGGGGAAUAUUGCACAAUGGGCGCAAGCCUGAUGCAGCAACGCCGCGUGCGGGAUGACGGCCUUCGGGUUGUAAACCGCUUUCAGCAGGGACGAAGCUUUUUGUGACGGUACCUGCAGAAGAAGCACCGGCUAACUACGUG
rnacentral:rRNA from 1 species